rnacentral:rRNA from 1 species
UGGACAGAAAGACCCUAUGAAGCUUUACUGUAACUUGAAAUUGAAAUUGGACUUUAUUCGCGCAGUAUAGGUGGGAGGCGUUGAUUAUAAUCUUGCGGGAUUAUUGGAGCCAUCAGUGAGAUACCACCCUUGUAAUGUUAGAUUUCUAACUUUGAAUCAUUAUCUGGUCAAAGAACAGUUUCAGGCGGGCAGUUUGACUGGGGCGGUCGCCUCCUAAAAGGUAACGGAGGCGCGCAAAGGUUUCCUCAGGCUGGUUGGAAAUCAGCCGACGAGUGCAAAAGCAGAAGGAAGCUUGACUGUGAGACCUACAAGUCGAACAGGGACGAAAGUCGGCUUUAGUGAUCCGACGGUUCUGAGUGGAAGGGCCGUCGCUCAACGGAUAAAAGUUACUCUAGGGAUAACAGGCU